rnacentral:rRNA from 2 species
GGCNGCCUAUACAUGCAGUCGAAGCGGAUCUUUGGAAAGCUUGCUCCCAAAGGUUAGCGGCGGACGGGUGAGUAACACGUGGGCAACCUACCUAUAAGACUGGGAUAACUUCGGGAAACCGGAGCUAAUACCGGAUAAUAUAAGGAAUCACAUGAUUUUUUAUUGAAAGAUGGCUUCGGCUAUCACUUAUAGAUGGGCCCGCGGCGCAUUAGCUAGUUGGUGAGGUAACGGCUCACCAAGGCGACGAUGCGUAGCCGACCUGAGAGGGUGAUCGGCCACACUGGGACUGAGACACGGCCCAGACUCCUACGGGAGGCAGCAGUAGGGAAUCUUCCGCAAUGGACGAAAGUCUGACGGAGCAACGCCGCGUGAGUGAUGAAGGCCUUCGGGUCGUAAAACUCUGUUGUUAGGGAAGAACAAGUAUCGUUCGAAUAGGGCGGUACCUUGACGGUACCUAACCAGAAAGCCACGGCUAACUACGUGCCAGCAGCCGCGGUAAUACGUAGGUGGCAAGCGUUGUCCGGAAUUAUUGGGCGUAAAGCGCGCGCAGGUGGUCCUUUAAGUCUGAUGUGAAAGCCCACGGCUCAACCGUGGAGGGUCAUUGGAAACUGGGGGACUUGAGUACAGAAGAGGAAAGUGGAAUUCCACGUGUAGCGGUGAAAUGCGUAGAGAUGUGGAGGAACACCAGUGGCGAAGGCGACUUUCUGGUCUGUAACUGACACUGAGGCGCGAAAGCGUGGGGAGCGAACAGGAUUAGAUACCCUGGUAGUCCACGCCGUAAACGAUGAGUGCUAAGUGUUAGAGGGUUUCCGCCCUUUAGUGCUGCAGCUAACGCAUUAAGCACUCCGCCUGGGGAGUACGGUCGCAAGACUGAACUCAAGGAAUUGACGGGGGCCCGCACAAGCGGUGGAGCAUGUGGUUUAAUUCGAAGCACGCGAGAAC